AACGGUAACAGGUCUUCGGAUGCUGACGAGUGGCGAACGGGUGAGUAAUACAUCGGAACGUGCCCAGUAAUGGGGGAUAGCUCGGCGAAAGCCGGAUUAAUACCGCAUACGCCCUGAGGGGGAAAGUGGGGGAUCGCAAGACCUCACGUUAUUGGAGCGGCCGAUGGCUGAUUAGCUAGUUGGUAGGGUAAAGGCUUACCAAGGCGACGAUCAGUAGCUGGUCUGAGAGGACGAUCAGCCACACUGGGACUGAGACACGGCCCAGACUCCUACGGGAGGCAGCAGUGGGGAAUUUUGGACAAUGGGGGAAACCCUGAUCCAGCAAUGCCGCGUGUGCGAAGAAGGCCUUCGGGUUGUAAAGCACUUUUGUCAGGGACUGAAAUCCUUUGGGCUAAUACCCUAGGGGGAUGACGGUACCUGAAGAAUAAGCACCGGCUAACUACGUGCCAGCAGCCGCGGUAAUACGUAGGGUGCAAGCGUUAAUCGGAAUUACUGGGCGUAAAGCGUGCGCAGGCGGUUGUGUAAGACAGGUGUGAAAUCCCCGGGCUUAACCUGGGAAUUGCAUUUGUGACUGCACGACUAGAGUGUGUCAGAGGGGGGUGGAAUUCCACGUGUAGCAGUGAAAUGCGUAGAUAUGUGGAGGA
rnacentral:rRNA from 1 species